rnacentral:piRNA from 1 species
UGUCUUGACUACUAGCUGUAUGAGCUU